rnacentral:rRNA from 1 species
UACGAAGGGGGCUAGCGUUGUUCGGAAUCACUGGGCGUAAAGCGCACGUAGGCGGAUAUUUAAGUCAGGGGUGAAAGCCUGGAGCUCAACUCCAGAACUGCCCUUGAUACUGGGUAUCUCGAGUCCGGAAGAGGUAAGUGGAACUGCGAGUGUAGAGGUGAAAUUCGUAGAUAUUCGCAAGAACACCAGUGGCGAAGGCGGCUUACUGGUCCGGUACUGACGCUGAGGUGCGAAAGCGUGGGGAGCAAACAGGAUUAGAUACCCGUGUAGUCC